UAGGGAAUCUUCGGCAAUGGGGGGAACCCUGACCGAGCAACGCCGCGUGAGUGAAGAAGGUUUUCGGAUCGUAAAGCUCUGUUGUUAAGGAAGAACGAGUGUGAGAAUGGAAAGUUCAUGCUGUGACGGUACUUAACCAGAAAGGGACGGCCAACUACGUGCCAGCAGCCGCGGUAAUACGUAGGUCCCGAGCGUUGUCCGGCUUUAUUGGGCGUAAAGCGAGCGCAGGCGGUUAGAAAAGUCUGAAGUGAAAGGCAGUGGCUCAACCAUUGUAGGCUUUGGAAACUGUGUAACUUGAGUGCAGAAGGGGAGAGUGGAAUUCCAUGUGUAGCGGUGAAAUGCGUAGAUAUAUGGAGGAACACCGGUGGCGAAAGCGGCUCUCUGGUCUGUAGCUGACGCUGAGGCUCGAAAGCGUGGGGAGCGAACAGG
rnacentral:rRNA from 1 species